UACGUAGGGGGCUAGCGUUGUCCGGAUUUAUUGGGCGUAAAGAGCGUGUAGGCGGCCAGGUAGGUCCGUUGUGAAAACUCGAGGCUCAACCUCGAGACGUCGGCGGAAACCCUCUGGCUAGAGUCCGGAAGAGGAGAGUGGAAUUCCUGGUGUAGCGGUGAAAUGCGCAGAUAUCAGGAAGAACACCGGUGGCGAAGGCGGGUCUCUGGGCCGAUACUGACGCUGAGGAGCGAAAGCGUGGGGAGCGAACAGG
rnacentral:rRNA from 1 species